rnacentral:rRNA from 1 species
UACGUAGGGUGCGGGCGUUAAUCGGAAUUACUGGGCGUAAAGCGUGCGCAGGCGGCUUUUCAAGUCAGGUGUGAAAUCCCCGGGCUUAACCUGGGAAUGGCGCUUGAAACUGGAGAGCUUGAGUGUGGCAGAGGGGGGUGGAAUUCCACGUGUAGCAGUGAAAUGCGUAGAGAUGUGGAGGAACACCGAUGGCGAAGGCAGCCCCCUGGGCUGACACUGACGCUCAGGCACGAAAGCGUGGGGAGCAAACAGG